UAGCCUGCGCAGGGAUUGUGCUUGGCUUCUGGCUUGUAGCUCUUCAUGGAGCAGCACUGCUCUUGCUGACAGAGAUGCAGAUCCAAAAUCACAUUCUUUUGUGUGCAAGAUUUUGGUGAACUUUCUUGAGCGGCCAGGGAGCCCUGAAGGCGUAUCAGCUAACACAGUUUUUAAACCUGUAAUUCAGCAGGUAGAACUGGUUUAUCAGCCCUGGGAGCCAAAUCAAAACAGGAGGCACUGACAUUGAUAACUGGCAUUUUGGAGCAGGACAUAAGUGAUUAAUGCUGGAAGAAGAAAAUCUUAUUUCUUAUUAUUCAAAAUGCAUAAAUUUUUCUUGUAAUGCAGUAGCUUUCUGGCCCUUUCCUAUUGUGCUAUGGAAAUUCUUGCUCGAUUAUUGUGAAAUCGCACAGCAUACUUAACGCAAGCAAAGUACUAAGAUUAAAAAAACUAAUACUUAACAAAUACUAAAUAAAAAAUAAUAUAUAACUACUUAUUAAAGAAAAAUUAUUGCACAAUAAACAGUCUAGGUAAGAAAAGAACCCCCAGAGGUUAGUUGCCUCAGCUCAGACUGGGACUCUACAUGUAGGAUGACAGAAAGAACUUCUCUUAAGCUUUGCCCUCUGUAGCUCUCCCUUAUGCUGAAGAUGGACCUUUCUGAGCAACAGAGCUUCUAGCAGGCCUUUUUAGCAGGCCGUCACAAGUGUCAAAGCUCUGCUUGAACAAAAUAGAGAAUCAAGACUGUUUUGAUCUCCAUUUUUGUGUGUGUGUGUGUGUUGUGAAACCAUUUAACUGUUAAGAAAAAAAUGUAGACAUCGAAUUGUUGUGAUUUCAUUGGUAAUAAUUACA